rnacentral:rRNA from 1 species
GACGAACGCUGGCGGCGUGCUUAACACAUGCAAGUCGAACGGUGAAGCGCCUUCCUUUUUGGUGGGUGUGGAUGAGUGGCGAACGGGUGAGUAACACGUGAGUAACCUGCCCCCUUCUUCUGGAUAACCGCAUGAAAGUGUGGCUAAUACGGGAUAUUCUGGGUCUGUCGCAUGAUGGGUCUGGGAAAGAUAUUGUUUCGGUGGGGGAUGGGCUCGCGGCCUAUCAGCUUGUUGGUGGGGUGAUGGCCUACCAAGGCGGUGGCGGGUAGCCGGCCUGAGAGGGUGGACGGUCACACUGGGACUGAGACACGGACAAGACUCCUACGGGAGGCAGCAGUGGAGAAUAUUGAACAAUGGGCGCAAGCCUGAUGCAGCGACGCCGCGUGAGGGAUGGAGGCCUUCGGGUUGUGAACCUCUUUCGCCAGUGAAGCAGGCCUGCCUAGUUUGUGGGUGGGUUGACGGUAGCUGGAUAAGAAGCGCCGGCUAACUACGUG